GCCGGGUGCAGUGGAGCAUGCCUGUAGUCCCAGCUACUCAGGAGGCUGAGACUGGAGGAUCGCUUGAGUCCAGGAGUUCUGGGCUAUAUGUGCUAUGCUGAUCGGGUGUCCGCACUAAGUUUAGCAUCAGUAUAGUGACCUCCUGGGAGCAGGGGACCACCAGCUUGCCUAAUGAGGGGUGAACCGGCCCAGGUCGGAAACAGAGCAGGUCAGAACUCCCAUGCUGAUCAGUAGUGGGAUGGCGCCUGUGAAUAGCCACUGCACUCCAGCCUGGGCAACAAAGCAAGAUCCCGUCUCU
rnacentral:SRP_RNA from 1 species